rnacentral:rRNA from 1 species
GGAGUAGAGCAACAGGGAUUGCCCUAGUAACGGCGAGUGAAGCGGCAACAGCUCAAAUUUGAAAUCUGGCUCUUUCAGAGUCCGAGUUGUAAUUUGCAGAGGGCGCUUUGGCUUUGGCAGCGGUCCAAGUUCCUUGGAACAGGACGUCACAGAGGGUGAGAAUCCCGUACGUGGUCGCUAGCUAUUGCCGUGUAAAGCCCCUUCGACGAGUCGAGUUGUUUGGGAAUGCAGCUCUAAAUGGGAGGUAAAUUUCUUCUAAAGCUAAAUAUUGGCCAGAGACCGAUAGCGCACAAGUAGAGUGAUCGAAAGAUGAAAAGCACUUUGGAAAGAGAGUCAAACAGCACGUGAAAUUGUUGAAAGGGAAGCGCUUGCAGCCAGACUUGCUUGCAGUUGCUCAUCCGGGCUUUUGCCCGGUGCACUCUUCUGCAGGCAGGCCAGCAUCAGUUUGGGCGGUGGGAUAAAGGUCUCUGACACGUUCCUUCCUUCGGGUUGGCCAUAUAGGGGAGACGUCAUACCACCAGCCUGGACUGAGGUCCGCGCAUCUGCUAGGAUGCUGGCGUAAUGGCUGUAAGCGGCCCGUCUUGAAACACGGACCAAGGAGUCUAACAUCUAUGCGAGUGUUUGGGUGUCAAGCCCGAGCGCGUAAUGAAAGUGAACGGAGGUGGGAACCCGCAAGGGCGCACCAUCGACCGAUCCUGAAGUUUACGGAAGGAUUUGAGUAAGAGCAUGGCUGUUGGGACCCGAAAGAUGGUGAACUAUGCUUGAAUAGGGUGAAGCCAGAGGAAACUCUGGUGGAGGCUCGCAGCGGUUCUGACGUGCAAAUCGAUCGUCAAA